AACGUAGGACGCAAGCGUUAUCCGGAGUUACUGGGCGUAAAGCGCGGGCAGGCGGUCGCUUAAGUCUGAUGUGAAAUCUCCCGGCUCAACCGGGAGCAGCCAUUGGAAACUAGGCGACUGGAGUCUGACAGAGGUAGGCGGAAUUCCGGGUGGAGUGGUGAAAUGCGUAGAGAUCCGGAGGAACACCAGAGGCGAAGGCGGCCUACUGGGUCAGUACUGACGCUGAGACGCGAAAGCCAGGGGAGCGAACGGG
rnacentral:rRNA from 1 species